rnacentral:rRNA from 1 species
UGGGGAAUAUUGCACUAUGGGCGCAAGCCUGAUGCAGCCAUGCCGCGUGUAUGAAGAAGGCCUUCGGGUUGUAAAGUACUUUCAGCGGGGAGGAAGGUGUUGUGGUUAAUAACCACAGCAAUUGACGUUACCCGCAGAAGAAGCACCGGCUAACUCCGUGCCAGCAGCCGCGGUAAUACGGAGGGUGCAAGCGUUAAUCGGAAUUACUGGGCGUAAAGCGCACGCAGGCGGUCUGUCAAGUCGGAUGUGAAAUCCCCGGGCUCAACCUGGGAACUGCAUCCGAAACUGGCAGGCUUGAGUCUUGUAGAGGGGGGUAGAAUUCCAGGUGUAGCGGUGAAAUGCGUAGAGAUCUGGAGGAAUACCGGUGGCGAAGGCGGCCCCCUGGACAAAGACUGACGCUCAGGUGCGAAAGCGUGGGGAGCAAACA